AGGACGAACGCUGGCGGCGUGCUUAAACCAUGCAAGUCGAGCGACGACAUCCGGAGGGGUAACCCUCUGGAUGGACGGAGCGGCGAACGGGUGAGUAACACGUGAGGAACCUGCCCCGAAGACCGGGAUAGCCCGGGGAAACCCGGAUUAAUACCGGAUAUCCAUGGCCGAUCGCAUGGUCGGAAAUGGAAAUGGCCAACCGCUUCUGGAUGGCCUCGCGGCCUAUCAGCUAGUUGGUGGGGUAACGCCCACCAAGGCGGCGACGGGUAGCUGGCGUGAGAGCGCGACCAGCCACACUGGGACUGAGAUACGGCCCAGACUCCUACGGGAGGCAGCAGGUAGGAAUUUUGCACAAUGGGCGAAAGCCUGAUGCAGCAACGCCGCGUGGGGAUGAAGGCCUCGGGUUGUAAACCCUUUCGAUGGGACGAAGCGCAAGUGACGGUACCAGAGAAGAGCCCGGCAACUACGUGCCAGCAGCCGC
rnacentral:rRNA from 1 species